rnacentral:rRNA from 1 species
AACGAACGCUGGCGGCAUGCCUAACACAUGCAAGUCGAACGCGUGUAGCAAUACACGAGUGGCGGACGGGUGAGUAACGCGUGGGAACCUGCCCAGUGGUAGGGAAUAACUGCGGGAAACUGCAGCUAAUACCCUAUACGCCCUUUGGGGGAAAGAUUCAUCGCCAUUGGAGGGGCCCGCGUCGGAUUAGCUAGUUGGCGGGUAACGGCCCACCAAGGCAACGAUCCGUAGCUGGUCGAGAGGAUGAUCAGCCACACUGGGACUGAGAUACGGUCAGACUCCUACGGGAGGCAGCAGUGGGGAAUAUUGGACAAUGGGGGAAACCCUGAUCCAGCAAUGCCGCGUGAGUGAAGAAGGCCUUCGGUUGU